ACAGAUUACAUGCACAAAAUAUGCCCGUAAUUUCUGCUUUUGACAGAUGCUGGAAGGAUUUUCACUAAUCAAUGAUCCUCCAUUGCAAUUUCAAGAACCGAAGGCAGCCUUUCAUGAAAAAUUGAAAAAAUUCUAUUAAGCUCAGUCCUGAACACCUGUUUUGAUCUCAGAUUAUGCUCCCCCCUCCGGUUUCAAUUUGGUAUAAAAGCUUUGUUUCUGCUAAUUAGAAGCAGGCAUAACUCAUUUUCAACACAAGCAAAAAGAUGCAGAUCCAGGUCAUUUUCCUAGCAUUGGCCAUCGCCAUGGUGUCUGCUCAAUGUGAUUCCAAAAUCAAGCGGGGACAAGCUUGUAGCGAAACCUCGCAAUGUCGACCCAACCUUGUGUGCAACAAUUGGAGGAACGGAUCGAAACUUUGCCAACCAGCCCAAUGUUCAGUGGAAGGCGAAAGAUGUGGCUGGUACAGAGGAAGUUGUUGCCAAACUGAUCCAACCAUCUAUUGUUAUAAGAAGACUGGCAGCCGAAGUCGGUGCACAAGGCUGCAAAAUAUUCCAGAACAAGACAGAAAUCAAGUAGUAGCAAUUGGUGUUUGACCAUGACAUGAGAACCGUUUGACUUGAUUGAAUCCUUGACAUCCACAAUCCAGAAUAAAUUUGCGUAACAUUCAUAUUCAA